AUUGAACGCUGGCGGCGUGCCUAACACAUGCAAGUCGAGCGGCAGCGCGGGAGCAAUCCUGGCGGCGAGCGGCGGACGGGUGAGUAAUGCUUGGGAAUCUGCCUGUUAGUGGGGGACAACCCGGGGAAACUCGGGCUAAUACCGCAUACGCACUACGGUGGAAAGCCGGGGACCGCAAGGCCUGGCGCUAACAGAUGAGCCCAAGUCGGAUUAGCUAGUUGGUAGGGUAACGGCCACCAAGGCGACGAUCCGUAACUGGUCUGAGAGGACGACCAGUCACACCGGAACUGAGACACGGUCCGGACUCCUACGGGAGGCAGCAGUGGGGAAUAUUGGACAAUGGGGGAAACCCUGAUCCAGCGACGCCGCGUGGGUG
rnacentral:rRNA from 1 species